AUCGGGAAUCUUGCACAAUGGGCGAAAGCCUGAUGCAGCGACGCCGCGUGAAGGAUGAAGGCCUUCGGGUUGUAAACUUACAUUAAGAAGCACCGGCUAACUACGUGCCAGCAGCAGCGGUCAUACGUAGGGUGCAAGCGUUACCCGGAUUUAUUGGGCGUAAAGAGUUCUGUAGGCGGUCGUGUAAGUCAGAGGUUAAAUAUCCCGGCUUAACUGGGAAGCAGCUUUUGAUACUGCGCGACUAGAGAUGGUUAGGGGGCAGCGGAACGUACGGUGGAGCGGUGAAAUGCGUUGAUAUCGUACGGAACACCGAGGGGGAAGCCAGCUGCCUGGGACUUAUCUGACGCUGAGAGACGAAAGCGUGGGGAGCGAAACGGAUUAGAAACCCCGGUAGUCC
rnacentral:rRNA from 1 species